rnacentral:misc_RNA from 1 species
CCUCCUUCUCCGGCCUGUCGCCCGCACCGCACGGCUGGAGCGCACUCUUUGGUGCGUACGGGAAGUAGCCUGCAGCUUCGAGCUCCUCGCGCGAUGGGAUAUAGCCGUUGGGGAGAGAGUCGAGCGUCGUCUUACUCCUGCCAGAGCGGUUGUCGGCGUGCGGACGAGCGGGCGAGGGGAUGAGGGCGAGAGGGGCA